rnacentral:rRNA from 1 species
GUGGGGAAUAUUGGACAAUUGGCGAAAGCCUGAUCCAGCCAUGCCGCGUGUGUGAAGAAGGUCUUCGGAUUGUAAAGCACUUUAAGUUGGGAGGAAGGGCAGUAAGUUAAUACCUUGCUGUUUUGACGUUACCGACAGAAUAAGCACCGGCUAACUUCGUGCCAGCAGCCGCGGUAAUACGAAGGGUGCAAGCGUUAAUCGGAAUUACUGGGCGUAAAGCGCGCGUAGGUGGUUUUGUAAGUUGGAGGUGAAAUCCCCGGGCUCAACCUGGGAACUGCCUCCAAAACUGCAUGACUAGAGUACGGUAGAGGGUAGUGGAAUUUCCUGUGUAGCGGUGAAAUGCGUAGAUAUAGGAAGGAACACCAGUGGCGAAGGCGACUACCUGGACUGAUACUGACACUGAGGUGCGAAAGCGUGGGGAGCAAACAGGAUUAGAAACCCCAGUAGUCC